AAAUUUCAAAAGCACUAUUUUCUUUCCAAAAUAACAAGUAGAUCUUCCAAUACUGGGUUUUCUCUACAACAAUGGAAGACCAAAUUGCCGCCAUAAAAAGCAAGAUUGACGCCAUAGAAGUCAAGAUUGAUGCCAUUGAACAAAAGCUUAAUGGGUUGGUGAAUUCUUUGAAAAUGAAUGAAGAUGUAGCUGAUCUACAAGCUAGACUUGGCAAUGAGUUGAACGGACUUUUUGGCUUGAGUGCCACAAAUAUCUGUCGAGCCAUCAAUGUUCUAGCUACAAGACAUGAUUUGCUUAGGGUUUUCUUUGGUUUGCCUUUUCACAUGAAGAUAUUAUAUAUCGAGAACCUUUCAGUUGGUGGACCAAGAGUGAUAUAGCUAUAUAUACAUACAUUAACUCUUCCAUGAUGGAAAUGUUGUUUGGUCCAUGUCAUUUUGUAUGCAUACAUACCUUUUUAAAGAAUAAGUUAAGUAGAAGGGUUAUUACGUCGAACAAGAGAAUGACCUAAUAUCCUCCGUGAGUGUUUCGGAAAAUAUUACGUCGUUCCUAGAUUGGCGUAAUAAAGCUUUCAUAUAUAUAUAUAUAUUAUUGGGAAUAUAUUUAUUUGUAUAUUAUAUUUUAGCGUGAUAUAUGUUUGAAUCUUGUAUUACGAAUAAUAUUUGUGUGAUGCUCUAAAAUAAUAAAAUUGAUAUAUAAUGGUACUCUA